AUGAGAUCGUUACUUUUCAUUCUGAUUCAACGAAAGGAGCCGUUGAGACCUAGCUGAUUCAUAUUAGAAACUUCUAGUUAACUCUGCUUGAAUAUCUGUGCUUUUGCUUCUGUAUUUAUUACGGGCCGUGGAUUAUUGUUUAACUAGAUUAUUGCUUCUUUUCUUAAUUACUAAAUAUUAACUAUCGCCGAUUUCAUUUUGCACGGGUUUAAUGACGGAUUAAUUUUUUUGCGAUGUAGGUACCUACACGUGUACAACAAGAAGAUCCAUUGCAUUUCCUGCUUCUGGAUAAGAAAGUGAAAAAGAGUGACGUGGCGUUAUUGAUUUAAAGGAUCUGUUUAAGUGUACUAAAGAAUUGAAACAGCCUGAACACACUGAGCUGGUUAAUAGAAGCAGCUCAGUGAUACUCAGAAACACAAAUUACUUCAGAGAAGCAAGCAAAAAUUUUAUGUUGCUUGACCGCUUGCUUGCUUGUACCAUUUCCUCUGGCUCCAUCCUCUGCUAAAUGUACCUCGCUUCCAUACAGCUGUUGCUUUGAGCUUGAGAAAACAUUCUUGUAUUAUAACAUGAAGAAAAUGGUUACCAAGGAUUAAUAUUUUUAAAAAAGAUGGCGUUGAAGAGCUGCCUCAGAGAUUUUCAAAUUCACUGAGAUGAUGAGAUGAGAUUUUCAAGACACUGAGGAGUUGUCACAGGCAAUUUUAGAUAAUCAAGAACAGAAAGACGACCAAAUUAACAAAAACAUAUGCAAUGAUAACAUCGUAUGGAAAGAGCUUACAUUAAAUGUGAACGACACAUCCUGCAUACUCAUGUUGUACGAGAAUCCGCUCUAGUGCCGGGA